rnacentral:rRNA from 1 species
AUUGAACGCUGGCGGCAUGCCUUACACAUGCAAGUCGAACGGCAGCACGGGAGCAAUCCUGGUGGCGAGUGGCGAACGGGUGAGUAAUGUAUCGGAACGUGCCCAGUCGUGGGGGAUAACGUAGCGAAAGCUACGCUAAUACCGCAUACGAUCUAUGGAUGAAAGCGGGGGAUCGCAAGACCUCGCGCGAUUGGAGCGGCCGAUAUCAGAUUAGGUAGUUGGUGGGGUAAAGGCUCACCAAGCCGACGAUCUGUAGCUGGUCUGAGAGGACGACCGGCCACACUGGGACUGAGACACGGCCCAGACUCCUACGGGAGGCAGCAGUGGGGAAUUUUGGACAAUGGGCGCAAGCCUGAUCCAGCAAUGCCGCGUGCAGGAUGAAGGCCUUCGGGUUGUAAACUGCUUUUGUACGGAGCGAAAAGGCUCUCUCUAAUACAGGGGGCUCAUGACGGUACCGUAAGAAUAAGCACCGGCUAACUACGUGCCAGCAGCCGCCGUAA